AUCAGCACUCUAAUGAUAUCUACGAUAUCUAUGAUAUCUGUAUGUUGCUAGGAUUUUUCUGCAUGGUAUUAUAACCAGCAAAAUCUUUUGUUUUGUUUUGUUUUUAAAGAUUUUUAUUUAUUUAUUCAUGAGACACACAGAGAGAGAGGCAGAGACACAGGCAGAGGGAGAAACAGUGUCCCUGCCGGGAGCCCGAUGUGGGACUCGAUCCAGGGCCCUAGGAUCUCGCCCUGGGCCAGAGGCAGAUGCUCAACUGCUGAGCCACCCAGGUGCCCCAGGAUAAUCAUUUUGGAAAGAAUGUCAGUCAAGUCCAUCUCUGUCACUGAGGUCUCGUCAUCCCAGUCGGUCCUGUGACAUAGUGUUCUUGAUCCCUGUGUACUGUCGAAGACACAGAAAGCAGAGGUCCCACAGCUAGAAGGUGGGGAAGGUCACCUCUGGGCAAUGCCAGAUGGUCUCUGCUUUCCUCCAGACCCUACAGUGUACUUCCAGUCCACAACAGUUUACAACUCACAGUCUCAGGAAUUUGUCAUUUUCUUUCGAACAUGGCUGGCCAAAACAAGAUUGGCUUAUGCUCCUAUGCAAUGUACUUCAAGUGUUGCACUUUCCUCCAACAAAGACCUCUAUACCUGCUUUAUUGCUGAAAAUAAAAUCC
rnacentral:lncRNA from 1 species